UUAUAAUUAGAAACAAUAAAAAUCGUAAAAAUGUAAAAUUUUGAAUUGGGGCGUGACGCGAAAUUAGCCCAUUUUAAUACAGGCAGUACUUUGCUGGCAGUGCAAUUGUCUAUACAGUAAAUACUAAAGUAGAUAGACAGUAAAUACUAAAGUAGGGUGCAUUGCCAGCUAAUGGUUUAAUAAAAGACAUUGACAAAUGUGUUUGUUAAACUAUUUACUGACAGUACUCUACCACUGACAAGUAAAAUCGUCUGGUGGUACACG